rnacentral:rRNA from 1 species
UACGUAGGGUGCGAGCGUUGCUCGGAAUUAUUGGGCGUAAAGCGCACGUAGGCGGCUUUGCAAGUCGGAUGUGAAAUCCCUCGGCUUAACCAAGGAAGUGCAUCCGAAACUGCAGAGCUUGAGUACUUAAGAGGAUCGCGGAAUUCCCGGUGUAGAGGUGAAAUUCGUAGAUAUCGGGAGGAACACCAGUGGCGAAGGCGGCGAUCUGGGAAGAUACUGACGCUGAGGUGCGAAAGCGUGGGGAGCAAACAGG